rnacentral:rRNA from 1 species
GCAACCCGCCCUAGAGCGGCGGACUGGUGAGUAACGCGUGGGUGAUCUGCCCUUGGGAUGGGGAUAGCCUCUAGAAAUAGAGGGUAAUACCGAAUACGUUCGCUACUUCAUUGUAGCGAGGAAAAGCGCUUCGGCGCUGCCCGAGGAUGAGCCCGCGUCCAAUUAGCUAGUUGGUGAGGUAAAGGCCCACCAAGGCGAUGAUUGGUAGCCGGCCUGAGAGGGUGUACGGCCACACUGGGACUGAGAUACGGCCCAGACUCCUACGGGAGGCAGCAGCUAAGAAUAUUCUGCAAUGGACGAAAGUCUGACGGAGCGACGCCGCGUGGAUGACGAAGGGCGAAAGGUUGUAAAGUCCUUUUGUUGGGGAAGAAUAAGCGUGGGAGGGAAUGCCCGCGUGAUGACAUGAACCGACGAAUAAGCCCCGGCUAACUACGUGCCAGCAGCCGCGGUAACACGUAGGGGGCGAGCGUUGUUCGGAAUUACUGGGCGUAAAGGGCAUGUAGGCGGCUCUGUAAGUCCGGCGUGGAAGCCUGCAGCUUAACUGCAGGAUUGCGCUGGAAACUGCGGGGCUUGAAUCAUGGAGAGGGAGCUAGAAUUCCAGGUGUAGGGGUGAAAUCUGUAGAGAUCUGGAAGAAUACCAGUGGCGAAGGCGAGCUCCUGGCCAAUGAUUGACGCUGAGGUGCGAAAGUGUGGGGAUCAAACAGGAUUAGAUACCCUGGUAGUCCACACUGUAAACGAUGUGCACUAGGUGCUGGGGCGGAUGCUUCAGUGCCGGAGCUAACGCGGUAAGUGCACCGCCUGGGGAGUAUGCUCGCAAGGGUGA